GCAAGUCGAGCGGAAACGAUCCUAGCUUGCUAGGAGGCGUCGAGCGGCGGACGGGUGAGUAACGCGUAGGAAUUUGCCCAGUAGAGGGGGAUAGCCCGGGGAAACUCGGAUUAAUACCGCAUACGCCCUAAGGGGGAAAGCAGGGGAUCUUCGGACCUUGCGCUAUUAGAUGAGCCUGCGUUAGAUUAGCUAGUUGGUGGGGUAAAGGCUCACCAAGGCGACGAUCUAUAGCUGGUCUGAGAGGAUGAUC
rnacentral:rRNA from 1 species